rnacentral:rRNA from 1 species
GACGAACGCUGGCGGCGUGCUUAACACAUGCAAGUCGAACGGUGAAGCUCCAGCUUGCUGGAGUGGAUCAGUGGCGAACGGGUGAGUAACACGUGAGCAACCUGCCCCUGACUCUGGAAUAAGCGCUGGAAACGGCGUCUAAUACUGGAUACGAGAAGGGCCCGCAUGGGCACUUUCUGGAAAGUAGUUCGGUUGGGGAUGUGCUCGCGGCCUAUCCGCUUGUUGGUGAGGUAAUGAAUCACGAAGGCGACGACGGGUAGCCGGCCUGAGAGGGCGACCGGCCACACUGGGCCUGAGACACGGCGCAGACUCCUACGGGAGGCAGCAGGGGGGAAUAUUGCACAAUGGGCGAGAGCCUGAUGCAGCGACGCCGCGUGAGGGAUGACGGCCUUCGAGUUGUAAACCUCUGUCAGCAGGGAAGAAGCGAAAGUGACGGUACCUGCAGAAGAAGCACCGGCUAACUACGUG